rnacentral:tRNA from 1 species
GGAGAGGUGGCCGAGCGGUUGAAGGCAGCGGUCUUGAAAACCGCCAGGGCGCAAGCCCUCGAGGGUUCGAAUCCCUCCCUCUCCGCCA